UUAUCGGAGAGUUUGAUCCUGGCUCAGGACGAACGCUGGCGGCGUGCUUAACACAUGCAAGUCGAACGGGCACUUCGGUGCUAGUGGCGAACGGGUGAGUAAAGCGCAGGUAAUCUGCCGCAAAGUCGGGGACAACGUUCCGAAAGGGACGCUAAUACCGGAUGUUGUGUAAGGUUCGCAUGGACUUUACACCAAAGAUUUAUCGCUUUGCGAGGAGCCUGCGUCCGAUUAGCUAGUUGGUGGUGUAAGAGACUACCAAGGCGACGAUCGGUAGCCGGUCUGAGAGGAUGAACGGCCACAAUGGAACUGAGACACGGUCCAUACUCCUACGGGAGGCAGCAGUGGGGAAUAUUCCACAAUGGGGGAAACCCUGAUGG
rnacentral:rRNA from 1 species